GAAGUGUAUUUUAGCCUGUAAGCGUUGAAAAUGUCGAGGAAACUGUUGCACCUAAAGCAUGGGAAAACAAGGCUACAUCUUCCAAGAAGGAAAAUACUAAAGUACCACCUGCUGAAGCAGCUGAAGUUACAAACGGAACAGAUGAAAAAAAAAUUACAAAACGCAAUAAAGCAGAACCCGUAAGUGCUGAAAGUAAGGAGGAACCUAAGGCAGAGAAAACUAAGGGUAAAACUGCCAAGAAGGCAGACAGUGGAAAUAAAGAAGAAACCCAAGUGGAAGAAGCGAAAAAACCUCAAACACGCACAGGUCUUGCUACUAAGAGAGAGUUUGUACCAAAGGGGCCUAAAAAUUCGACAGUAACUAAUUGGGAAAAUAUAAAUUUCAAAUGCACUACGAAAUCCCCGAAAGGAAAAGCUCCCAACUUUCAUAUCACUACGUGGAAUGUAGACGGAUUAAGAAGCUGGUUAAAGAAGGGAUGCCUUGAUAUCUUGAAGUAUGACAAACCAGAUAUACUUUGUAUUCAAGAGACUAAGUGCGCUGUAUAUAAAUUACCAGAAGAAGUCAAGACUAUAGAAGGUUACGAAACAUUGUGGUGCUGUAGCGAUAAAGAUGGCUAUGCAGGUGUAGGCAUUAUGGUUCAACAUAUACUC